GGAAGGAUCAUUAUCAGGGCUUAUGCUCUCCAAUCUUGUGAAUAUACUGUCUUACGUUAAAACUUUCAACAACGGAUCUCUUGGCUCCGGCGUCGAUGAAGAACGCAGCGAACUGCGAUACGUGAUGUGAAUUGCAGAAUUGUGAAUCAUCGAACUUUUGAACGCAUAUUGCGCCUGUUGGUACUCCAAUGGGCACGUCUGUUUGAGCGUUGUCAAAUCUCGGAUGGCAAUGGAGGAUGCGAGCACCUCUGAAAUACCUCGGCAUUGUGCCACGGCGAAACGUGAAGCAUUGCUGGACUUUUGUUUUUUUUCCCAACCUCAGACAGACGAGAAUACCCGCUGAACUUAAGCAUAUCAAUAAGCGGAGGAACAGAAACCAACCGGGAUGGCCCCAGUAACGGCGAGCGAAGCGGCCACAGCUCAGAUUUGGAACCGGGCAACCGGGUUGUAAUCUGAAGAGGAGGAUCCUACAGCGGCUCGGCUAAAGUCCCCUGGAAUGGGGUGCCACAGACGGUGACAGCCCGGUAAAGCCCAUGCCAAUGUUCUGCGGGCCUCUCUCAACGAGUCGAGUUGUUUGGGAAUGCAGCUCUAAUUGGGAGGUAAAUUCCUUCUAAGGCUAAAUACCCGCCGGAGACCGAUAGCGAACAAGUAGAGUGAUCGAAAGAUGAAAAGCACUUUGGAAAGAGAGUUAAAAAGCGCGUGAAAUUGUUGAAAGGGAAGCGCUCGUUGUUAGACGUGGUGGAUUGCUCAAUCGGACUCCUGUCCGGUGCGCUCAAUUUCACCAGGCCAGCAUCGGUUUAGGCAAUCGGAUAACAGCACGGGAAUGUGGCUCUUCGGAGUGUUAUAGCCCGCGCCGACACGACUAGCUCAGACCGAGGUGUGCGUUUUUCACAGAUGCUGGCGUAAGAACACCGAGCGGCCCGUCUUGAAACACGGACCAAGGAGUUCACCGGAGGAGCGAGUAUUUGGGUGUCAAACCCAAAUGCGAAAUGAAAGUAAACGGAGGCGGGAACUUUUGUGCACCGUCGGCCGAUCCUGAUGUACUCGGACGGAUUUGAGCACGAGCUUCUCUGUUGAGACCCGAAAGAGUGUGAACUAUGCUUGGGUAUGGUGAAGUCAGAGGAAACUCUGAUGGAGGCCAAAAGCCGUACUGACGUGCAAAUCGUUGGCGCGAUCUGAGCAUAGGGGCGAAAGACUCAUCGAACAUUCUAGUAGCUGGUUCCUGC
rnacentral:misc_RNA from 1 species